rnacentral:tRNA from 1 species
UUUAAUAUGGCAGAUAAAUGCGAUAGAUUUAAGAUCUAUUUAUAAAGUAUUACUUUUAUUAAAA